GGUGAGAAUGAAGAGGCCGAGACAGUGACAGCCAUGGCAAUGCUGUCAGUGGGAGCUGAGAGGGGGGGCAGCGACCCCAACCCCAGGUGUGUGGAGGAACCAAUGGAGGCUGAGCCUGUGCUGUGAUGGAGGAGGAUGGAAGGAGGAAGUUGGGGGGGGGGGGAGGAAACACCCCCCCCCCAGAGCAA